rnacentral:rRNA from 1 species
UGGGGAAUAUUGCACAAUGGGCGAAAGCCUGAUGCGGCAACGCCGCGUGAGUGAUGAAGGCCUUCGGGUUGUAAAGCUCUGUCUUUUGGGACGAUAAUGACGGUACCAAAGGAGGAAGCCACGGCUAACUACGUGCCAGCAGCCGCGGUAAUACGUAGGUGGCAAGCGUUGUCCGGAUUUACUGGGCGUAAAGGAUGCGUAGGCGGAUUUUUAAGUGAGAUGUGAAAACCCUAAGCUUAACUUGGGGACUGCAUUUCAUACUGGAAAUCUAGAGUGCGGGAGAGGAGAAUGGAAUUCCUAGUGUAGCGGUGAAAUGCGUAGAGAUUAGGAAGAACACCAGUGGCGAAGGCGAUUCUCUGGACCGUAACUGACGCUGAGGCAUGAAAGCGUGGGUAGCAAACAGGAUUAGAUACCCUGGUAGUCCACGCCGUAAACGAUGAGUACUAGGUGUAGGAGGUAUCGACCCCUUCUGUGCCGCAGUUAACACAAUAAGUACUCCGCCUGGGAAGUACGAUCGCAAGAUUAAAACUUAAAUGAAUUGAC